UUCCUGCUAGUAUAUCGGUUAGUACACUUGCCUGUCAUCACCAACGGCGCGCGAGAAAGCGAGGUUCGACUCCUCGGCAGGGAG